UACGUAGGGGGCUAGCGUUGUCCGGAAUCAUUGGGCGUAAAGCGCGUGUAGGCGGUUCGGUAAGUCCGCUGUGAAAGUCGGGGGCUCAACCCUCGAAUGCCGGUGGAUACUGUCGGACUAGAGUACGGAAGAGGCGAGUGGAAUUCCCGGUGUAGCGGUGAAAUGCGCAGAUAUCGGGAGGAACACCAAUUGCGAAGGCAGCUCGCUGGGACGUCACUGACGCUGAGACGCGAAAGCGUGGGGAGCAAACAGG
rnacentral:rRNA from 1 species